GAAUCUGUCCGUUGGUCGGGCUUCACUGUCCGUACUGGCGUGAUGGGUUCUUACCUUCUGAAUAACCAGCAUGCCAUUCACUUGGUGCGUUGGGGAAGCAGGACUAUUACCUUGAAAAAAUUAGAGUGCUCAAAGCAGGCCAGUGCCUGAAUACAUUAGCAUGGAAUAAUAAAAUAGGACGGCAUGGUUCUAUUUUGUUGGUUUCUAGGAUCACCGUA
rnacentral:rRNA from 1 species